rnacentral:rRNA from 1 species
UGGAAUAAAUAAUAAUUAAAUUUAAAAUCCCGAAGUAAGAAGAUCUAACUUUUUUAAAUUUUUAGAUUGAUUUAGUGAAAAUAAUGUAGCAAAAUUACAAAUAAUAAAAUAAGUUAGGAGUGAAAGGCUAAUCAAUUCUUAUUGAUAACUGGCUUAAACUGAAAUAUAUUAAGUAUAUUUAAAACAGAUGUAAAAUACUAAGAUUUUAUAUAAAAGAUAAAAUGAAUUUAAUAGCUGCGUUAAUUUAUUAAUAUAAAAUAACAAUAUUGCAUAAAUUAUCAAUUUUCUAUUUAUUUCUAAUUUAUAAGUUUAUUUUAAUAAUAAUUUAUAUAUUAUCUAAUAAUGUUUAAAUGAGUAUUUAUAAGAAAAGGGUUAAAGGAACUCGGCAAACUUUUUUUCAACUGUUUACCAAAAACAUAGCUAUUUGUCUAUCAUAACUAGUUAUUUCUGCCCGGUGAAAUUUUAACGGCCGCAGUACACUGACUGUGCAAAGGUAGCAUAAUAAAUUGGCUUUUAAUUGAAGUCGCGUAUGAACGAAUAAAUGGAAAAUAGCUGUCUUUCUCCUUUUAUUUAAAAAUUACUAAGAAAGUGCAAAUUCUUUCAAAACUAUUUAAAAGACGAGAAGACCCUAUAAAUUUUUACUAAUAUUACUUUUAUAUAUUAUGUUUUUGUUGGGGCAACAUUUUAACAUCAGAAAAUUUAAGAUAAUUUUGAAUAUAUGCAACGAGUUUUACUAACCAAAAAAAAAUUACUAUAGGGAUAACAGCAUAAUUUAAUAAAUAAGAUUGUGACCUCGAUGUUGGAUUAGGGUUCAGUUAGAUUAGAAAUUUAACUGUUAGGUUCUGUUCGAACUUUUUUAUCCCU